GGGUCAGUAGGUUGGUCGUGCCACCGGUACGUACUGGUCUCACUGAUUCCUCCUUCCUGAAGAACCGUAAUGCCAUUAAUUUGGUGUUGCGGGGAAACAGGACUGUUACUUUGGAAAAAUUAGAGUGUUUAAAGCUAGCUAACGCUUGAAUACAUUAGCAUGGAAUAAUGAAAUAGGACGAUCGAUCCUAUUUUGUUGGUUUCUAGGAUUGACGUA
rnacentral:rRNA from 1 species